rnacentral:rRNA from 1 species
UACGUAGGGUGCGAGCGUUGUCCGGAAUUAUUGGGCGUAAAGAGCUCGUAGGCGGUCUGUCGCGUCGGUCGUGAAAACCUGCAGCUUAACUGUGGGCUUGCGGUCGAUACGGGCAUGACUGGAGUUCGGCAGGGGAGACUGGAAUUCCUGGUGUAGCGGUGAAAUGCGCAGAUAUCAGGAGGAACACCAGUGGCGAAGGCAGGC